rnacentral:rRNA from 1 species
GUUUAAGCAGCCGCGGUAAUACAGAGGUCCCAAGCGUUGUUCGGAUUCACUGGGCGUAAAGGGUGCGCAGGUGGGCUGGUAAGUUCGAUGUGAAAGCCCCGGGCUUAACCCGGGAAUGGCAUUGGAUACUACUGGUCUGGAGGAUCGGAGGGGGGACUGGAAUUCUUGGUGUAGCAGUGAAAUGCGUAGAUAUCAAGAGGAACACCAGUGGCGAAGGCGAGUCCCUGGACGAUACCUGACACUGAGGCACGAAAGCCAAGGGAGCAAACAGGAUUAGAUACCCCCGUAGUCC